CAGCAGCCGCGGGAAAACGUAGGGUGCGAGCGUUAAUCGGAAUUACUGGGCGUAAAGCGUGCGCAGGCGGUUGUGUAAGACAGGUGUGAAAUCCCCGGGCUUAACCUGGGAACUGCGCUUGUGACUGCACAGCUAGAGUAUGGCAGAGGGUAGUGGAAUUCCACGUGUAGCAGUGAAAUGCGUAGAGAUGUGGAGGAACACCGAUGGCGAAGGCAGCCCCCUGGGCUAAUACUGACGCUCAGGCACGAAAGCGUGGGGAGCAAACAGGAUUAGAUACCCCCGUAGUCCCUGUCUCUUAUAC
rnacentral:rRNA from 1 species